rnacentral:rRNA from 1 species
AUUGAACGCUGGCGGCAGGCUUAACACAUGCAAGUCGAGCGGGGGGAGGUAGCUUGCUACCGGACCUAGCGGCGGACGGGUGAGUAAUGCUUAGGAAUCUGCCUAUUAGUUGGGGACAACAUCUCGAAAGGGAUGCUAAUACCGCAUACGUCCUACGGGAGAAAGCAGGGGAUCUUCGGACCUUGCGCUAAUAGAUGAGCCUAAGUCGGAUUAGCUAGUUGGUGGGGUAAAGGCCUACCAAGGCGACGAUCUGUAGCGGGUCUGAGAGGAUGAUCCGGCACACUGGGACUGGAACACGGCCCGGACUCCUACGGGAGGCAGCAGUUGGGAAUAUUGGACAAUGGGGGGAACCCUGAUCCAGCCAUGCCGCGUGUGUGAAGAAGGCCUUAUGGUUGUAAAGCACUUUAAGCGAGGAGGAGGCUACUUUAGUUAAUACCUAGAGAUAGUGGACGUUACUCGCAGAAUAAGCACCGGCUAACUCUGUGCCAGCCGCCGCCGUAA